rnacentral:rRNA from 1 species
GAGGAAUAUUGCGCAAUGGGCGAAAGCCUGACGCAGCAACGCCGCGUGGGGGAUGAAGCACUAUGGUGUGUAAACCCCUGUAGACAGGGAAGAACAGCAUGUAUUCGUAAGGGUGCGUGUAUGACGGUACCUG